UGAUAUGAUAUACUGAUUGAAAUAUCAAUAUUAUAAGUGAUAGGUCUUUUAUAAGAGAUUAAAUUAGAUUGCUUAGCGGUAAUCAGCGGUAAAAGCAAGUUUCCUGACUCAAACUUGAGUUGUUAUUUUUCAAGCAUGUUAGUGGAUAAUUAUUGUUGAUUAUUCCACAUCUAUAGUUAUUAUUGAAUAUUCGUAUUUAUUGCAAGUUCCCUAAUUCAAAUUCGAGUUGUUAUUUUUCAAGCAUGUUAGUGGAUAAUUAUUGUUGAUUAUUCCACAUCUAUGGUUAUUAUUGAAUAUUCGCAUUUAUUGCAAGUUCCCUAACUCAAACUCGAUUUGUUAUUUUUCAAGCAUGUUAGUAGAUAAUUAUUGUUGAUUAUUCCACAUUUAUGAUUAUUAUUGAAUAUUCGCAUUUAUUGCAAGUUUUCUAACUCUAACUCGAGUUAUUAUGUUUCAAACAUGUUAGUGGUUUAAUUCUUGACAAUUAUUCUACAUCUAUGAUUAUUAAUUCGCACUUUGUGAAUGUUUUACAUGUUUAUCAGGUAUGAAAAGUUGAUCACCUUGAUUACCAUAAGGUUCACUUAAAUAUUUUCGUGGUCAUUGAUGACAACUCAACUUAUUGACUCAGUCAUUCAAUUAUUAAAACUUGAUUCUCAAUCUUUCACAAUUAUUAUACGUUGUUGAAAACUUGAAAGCUUACUCAUUUUCAAUCAUGAUAUAUCUUUAUUGUACUUAAACUUACUUGGAAAAAUAGUUACUCACCCUUGAUAUAUCAUGAUAACAUUUUUAGAUUAAAACGAAGGUUCGAAGAAAGACGAAGACGAG
rnacentral:lncRNA from 1 species